rnacentral:rRNA from 1 species
UACGUAGGGGGCGAGCGUUGUCCGGAAUCAUUGGGCGUAAAGCGCGUGUAGGCGGUCCGGUAAGUCCGCUGUGAAAGUCGGGGGCUUAACCCUCGGAUGCCGGUGGAUACUGUCGGGCUUGAGUACGGAAGAGGCGAGUGGAAUUCCUGGUGUAGCGGUGAAAUGCGCAGAUAUCAGGAGGAACACCAGUUGGCGAAGGCGUCUCGCUGG